UCGGUCAAGCCUGUUGCAGCUCUGAGUUAAGACUCAUGGGGUGGGUCUUUCAAGCUCAUUCUCUUCAGGGAUCUUCAGCACACCAAUUCUGUAGUCACAAUCAACUACAAUCGUGAGUAGGCUGACUUGAGAUGGCCACAUCUUCAAGAGUGAUGUUGUUGGUCCUGAAGAAGAGUCCGGUACUCUGAUGCCUCUGGGGCUGAGAGCUCAGGGUGUGGGCACUACCGAGUUCCUCAGCAGCAUCUGCUGUCUCUUCUGCUCAUGGAACAGCUAUUUUCUUACUUUGACUGUGUGAUUGCAUGAGGCAAGCUGCUCCACGGAACCACCCAGAAGACAUGCUCUGGAAUCAGGUUGACGAUCUCCAAAUGUUAGUUUACAUUCUCAGGUUCAUCCAAACGUUAUCUACCCAAGGGGUCUUGAGAAGAACGAGGAGACAGUGGACAGAGCCUUCUUAUACUCUGACCUGGCCAAGAGAGAGGAUCCUGGUGGGCAGAUUUCUCAUCUAUGAGGCCAAUCUGAUCGUCAAACUGAUGUCAUGAUGGUACAAUUACUGAGAAAAACAUCCUGUUUGCAUUUGUAUUCUCCGCAUUAUCAUUUGAUACUCAACUGCCUGAGCUUGGCAGAUGGGUUAAGGUUAGUAUUUAGUAGAGAGGUUAUUUGGCUUACAAAUAAUAGAAACUGAUUGUAGUACAUGUGAGGACAAAAGUAAUCUGCUGGGAGGUUAUCAGGGGGCUCAGAAAGUCAAAGGGAGGGCUCAGAACAUGGGAACUGUGUUAAUCAGCUGUCGCUAUAAUUUAAAGCAGUGUCGCUAUAAUUGUGCUGCAUGAAACAAAAAAACACCCUCAAAACACAGGCAUUUGUGGGGCUGUGGAGGUGGCUUGGUUGGUAAAGUGUUUGGUAUAAAAGCAUGAGAACUUGACUUUGAAUCUUAGCAUCCAUGAAGGAAGCCAGGUUGGUGGGAUGCACUUGCUAUUCAGUCUAGCCAAAUAGGUAAGCUUCAAGUGCAGCGAGACCUUGUUUCAAAAAUAAAGUGAAGAAUGAUUGAAGAACAUACCUAACGUCAAAUACCACCCCCACUGCAAUUGACUGCACACACACACACACAUACACACACACACACACACACACACAGAGAGAGAGAGAGAGAGAGAAACAGAGAGAAAUACACACACAGACACACACACACAGAGACAGAGGAGAGACAUAGAGACAAAGAUAGACAGAGACAGAGAAAAAGACACACAUAUAAAAAAACCUUUAAGAGUUUAAAGCAGUGAGCAUGUGUUGUCAUAUCUAUGGAUCUCCUGGUUGUGGAUCUCAAUGGCUUGGUGAAAUGUUGCAUUUUUCAGACAUCUUGGUCCUACAUUUUUUGAUAUAUAAAAGUUACUUCCUAUAGUAAAUAUGUAAUUGAGUUUUUUCCAAUAAAGGCAAGGUCUCAUGUAGCCUAGACUGACCUUAUAUUUGCUAUAUAGACAAGUAUGACCUUGAACUACUGAUCCUCUUACCUCUACAUCCCAAGUGUUGGAUUUCAGGUUUAGGCCUGUAUGAAUUGCUGUAUGUCCAGCUGUAAGGACAUAACUGAAUUAAGGCCUCUAAGAUGUGGCAAGCAUGAACUACCUACAUGACUCUUGAAUGUGCAUAAGUACCCAGGCAAGGGGAAAUGCCACAAGAAGGGGAAGUGGAUGGAUAGUGGUAGCUGUAGUGUGUAGUUUAUAUUAUCUCAUUUUAAGUUCUAGGCAGAUGGUGCUACUAGCUGCUGUCCAGGUUCCCUUGAAUCUGUGGAUGAAACACACACACACACACACACACACACACACACACACACACACACACACACACUAGCUCAUUUUUAAACUGCCUUAUAGCUCAGUGGCUGGGCUCUUCUCAGCCUCCCUUGGCUAGCAUGCCCUUCUCUUUACUCCUUGCUCAACCCUUCUAAAUCUGCCCUAGCUUAGUUAUACUACUUUAGGCCCAAUUGAGGAAGCUGCCAAUGGCCACUCUACCCAAGAUCUCACAUGGCUGGUGACUCCCUUUCCCUCCAAAGCAUGGUGAAUUCCCUUUCCUCAUCCUGUGUUUCCUAGCCUGCCUGUGGGAACCUGGAAGUCCCACUUCUGCUGCCCAGCCAUUGGCUGCUGGUAUCGAUUGUUCAAUCAAGAACCAAGUGAGGAACAGGACCUUCAGUGGUCACAUGCAGAUUCCUGAUCAAAGUAUCAGAACCACUCCCUACAGGUAGCUGGGAUUUGAAAAAGGAGUUCUGCUUACUUUGACAAUGAGGGAGGAAUCCGGGAACCUAAGGAAUGUGUAGGUUGAAAAAUGACAGGCAAAAAGAGAACCUCUGGGUAAGCUUGGUCUUGACACCUUGCUUUGAGCUCAGUGCCUUUCCUCUGUUCAACCCUGAGCCAACACAUUCCCCAGACUUCCUGGGUACAGGCAAAGGAGCAUAAAGGACAAAUGAGAUGUGGAUGACAGAACUAUGGGAGAUGGAGGUGGAGAUGGCUGCUUUACAAGUAAAAGGACAAGAAAGACGUCUAUUAGGAAAAAGAACUCUAUGGUCUUAAAGAUGUCAAAGCCUAGAAUCAUAUGAAAGAAGAGCUGUCGCUUCAGAGAAGGGCUUCUGGCACAACUGAUGAUGAGGGUCCCCGAGCAGUCUCAACCACACCCCGUAGAACCAGCCGCCCCAGUCAUGGUAAACCAGUUCCAGAAACAGCUACUUGGCUGUAGUGUCAAUGUCUGUUGAAAUGUACUUGUCUGCAAGCUUUGACUAGAGACCAGUGAAGUUAAGGGAUACAGGGCCACCACCAAGCUGAAAAGGACUCUUAUCUGUGUAUAUCUAGUUGUUCCAAUACCACUACCGACAGUAGUCAGCUCAGUACUGAGAGUUCCUCUUGAUCAAGGGAGAGAUUCAGAAGAGCUCAAGGAAGUAUACAUUUUCAUGAAUAAGAAACUGGGGCAGGAGAAUUGUUCCCAGUGUACAGAAGACAGAGAGGAAUUAAGUGGGCAGUUGGUGUCUAUCUGAUUGCUGUCUGAUUUCUAAAGCCAUUUCAAAUCCAGGGUAUAAAGGGUUAAAUUGGUAGCCUUAAACUAACAGUGAGUCAAGGAAUGACACUCACAGAAGAAUUGCUGGCCAGAACUGUCAGCUACAGCUCAAUCUGCUGCCUGGAUUAGUUUCCUGCCCUAUAACAUGGUUUAUGGUGGCUGAACUUCAAAUAUCCAAACUACCUCGAGAAUGCAGAUGACAGCAGUUAAAUGGGGAUAAGCAUAAUGAGCAACUCUAAGUUUCCACCUUCUCUGAGUGAGCUCUGACAGCAGCCAACUGAAAUAGCACAAGAUGAAAAAUCCUGACCUGGCUUCCCAAUUGAGCAGGUCUCUUCACUUGCGGGCUACGCAACUGCAUGCUGUGUGCGAGAGCGGAGGGAGCUGUGUGAAUGGCUCCCCAGAUCUCAACAUCUGAGUGCCAGGGUGCUCCCAGAGGGCAGUCGGGAUGGAGGCAAUCACUGUCUUCUCAAAGUAAUAAAAAGUUAUUUCUUUCCUGAGAAGCUGGAAGGCACAUAAAAGAUUCUUUAGUGGAAGGUUAUUUGUUUCUGCUCCUUCCCACUCUUGACCCAGCACAUGCCAUUUUGCAGGGCUGAGAAUUCCUUAUGAGCCUUAGAUGAAACCCUGGUUACUUGUUGUUUUGUAAAGCCUAGAAGAUGUGUAAACUUUUCUUCAUCUGUUCUCCCAUUGUGAUUCAGAGAGAUAAUACUGGAAAGCACCUGUUCUGUUGUGUGUAGAGUUGUGUGGUCAUCUCUGUAGUGAAUCUUUCCCAUCAAAGCAACAGUGGGACCAAACCAGACAGGUAAGUAGAAAGUAAAUGAAAGGUCCAUGUAAAUGGACAGCAAAACAAUGGUCUAAAGGGCUGGAGAAAUGACUCAGAGGUUAAAAGCACUGACUGCUCUUUGAGAGGUCCUGAGUUCAAUUCCCAGCAACCAUGUGGUGGCUCACAACCAUCUGUAAUGGGAUCUGAUGCCCUCUUCUGGUGUGUCUGAAGACAGCUACAGUGUAUUCACAUACAUAAAAUAAGUACAUCUUAAAAAAUAUUAGUGAGCUAUCUUUCUCUCUUGCUGUCUUGCUCCCACUCUGUCCUCUCACCUCCUUCUCUCCCAUUCCCUUUUCCCUUUACUCCUCUACUCCUCUUCUCUCUCUCUCUCUCUCCCUCCCUCUCUCUCUCUCUCUCUCUCUCUCUCUCUCUCUCUUUCUGACUUUGUCUGUCUCUACUACCUCUCAACUCCUCUCCUCAUGCCCUAAACUCUUUUCUAUACUAAAAAGAUAUUAAUGAGUCAGUAACUAUUGAGUACAUUCUAUUUGCCCUUUUCUGGUGUGUCUGAAGACAGGGAAAGUGUACUCACAUAUAUUAAAUACAUCUUAAAAUAACUAAAAUGAUGUAAAGACUUAUUUAUUUAUUUAUUGUUUGCCAAACAUCUAAUUUCCAGUCUUCUGGUGGGAGCACCUUGAUUUUUCUUUGGAGUACCCAGUCUCCUUCCUUUUUCUUCCCUCUGGCUUCAGUGGAACUGACUAUACUUUCUGGAUAUUGAAAAAUGACACAUGACUCAAAUUCAUCUGUUGAUAUAAAAAUCUCAUGAUCUUUGACAUAGUAAGUAGAAAUCUUGCGCAUGAUAAUAAGAGGAGAGGCUACUAGUAAAUGCUGUCACAGAGACAAGCAAUAAGUUCUGGCGGUUAAGGUGAGCCCCUGAAUUCAUCCAUGCCUACUACCUCUGGAUGGCGGGUUUCUUCUUCUUCUUCUUCUUCUUCUUCUUCUUCUUCUUCUUCUUCUUCUUCUUCUUCUUCUUCUUCUUCUUCUUCUUCUUCUUCCUCCUCCUCCUCCUCCUCCUCCUCCUCCUCCUCCUCCUCCUCCUCCUCCUCCUCCUCCUCCUCCUCCUCCUCCUCCUCCUUCUCCUUCAGGCAAUCUGAAGCAUUUCCAUUUCUUUACCCUUCCUUCCUUCCUUCCUUCCUUCCUUCCUUCCUUCCUUCCUUCCUUCCUUCCUUCCUCCCUUCCCUCCCAAAAUAGACACUAGAUAAGGUAGAUCAGGCAGAGUGAAAUAAAAAAGCUCUCAGAGCACAAUCCUGGGUUGUUAGCUGCAGACCUCUGGAGGCUUCAAGGGGAAGAUAUAGCAGCUGGAGGAUGAGCCUGAAGAGUGUGUAGUAUAUGAAACAACUGAAAAAAUGCAGGUCUUCGGGAAGAUGAUUUUAAAAAGUGCUUUCAUGGAACUGGGGGAAAAAAAAGAUGGUGGAGUGGAGUGGUGUGUGGGCGACGGGUGUAGAUGCGAUGGUGGCAGCUGUAGACAAAGGAGCACGUGCUGAGUAGAACCAGUCCUCUGAUCACUAAGAAGCAUGGCCACCACCAGUCAUUGUUCUAUGACCACCAGCAAGUCCAGUGCUGCCAUUUGGCCAGAAGGUCUGGCCCAUGGCAUAGAACUGCUGGUGCUUCCACUGUUCUUCUCGUCCUCUUGUGGAGCGGAGAGCACGGGAUCACUGCGCUGCCUGCAGGCUGUAGAGAUUGUCCUGUCUGGGAAACUGGCAAGAUGGCUGGCAGCAAGGGCAGGUUUGUGCGCCGCAGCCUGGAGAGACCUCUGUCGUCUGUGCUGCCUAUAGAGGCCUUGUUGAUAUACAUGAUCUCUAGAGACUCUGUGAUCGGGGCUGCCGAAGGAGAUCAUGUUGAUGUCUAUGGUCGGUACUCCCACCAGAGGCCAUGUGGAAUUCCGUUGUCCAUGCUACUGCCAGAAACCGAAAGAAGUCCACGGUCCAGUCAGCGGCCAGCUGCUAUGGGCAAAGAAGCUUCUUCUGCUGUGGUAUGGAUGCUUACUCACUCAUAACUGAGAAAAGGAGACAUUAAAGGCUUCUCCUGUGAUAUGCCCUCCUUCUUCCCAAACAGUCCAGACAGGAAGCUACUGAAGAGAGUCCUUAAAAGUGAUAGAUAUGACAAAGUGUGGCUUUUCACACUUGAUGGUUUCCGGUGGGGAAGCACUCAGUGUUCUUUAAGGGGCUGGCCACUGGGAGUUAGACCACGCUCGGAAGAGUAUAUGGGAAAACAGUUGGACUUGGUGUAUGUGUGUGUGUGUGUGCACGCACCCGUGCAAGGGUUGGGGUUGGAUCUGGGAGGAAUGGGAAGUGGGUAUGAUCAAUUGUCUCGUAUGAAAUUCCCAAGUAUUAAUUAAAAUAUUAUGUAAAGGAGAAAAAAAACAAACCAAAGAAGAAUUACACAGCUGGAAGCCAGACAGUUAUCAGUUCUGGCAUGAGUAACUGACCUGUGUCUACUCUGUGUCUACCCACGACACUUUUCUCCCAAAUGAGAGUCAAGCAGCCCUUUGUGCUAACAGAUUGACAUUUCCCAGAACCUUUACACAUUCUCAUGGGUAAAUGAGAGGAUGAAUGCUUCUAGGAGAGAAGCGUUAGGUGCCACGGGGGUUUCUGGGAAACAAAUUUGCACUGGAAAUCAAGAAUUGACGACUCUGAGAGGUUUCUCUGGCAAAGAAUUUAAAAUGACUUGCUCAUCGGAUUCCCAGUACCUAGUAGCAUGCCCGUGUACGGGGAUGUCUCAGUAACUAUUCGGCGAACAGUUGGGUACUGAGAUUGCUUCUUUAUGCACUGAGCCCUUCACCUUGGAACAGCGGCACUUCCGGAAGGAAACCCCCAGAAGCCCACUCCACUUGUUAAUACUAAAGAACAUUCGAAAUUGACUUUUUCUUAUAUUUAGUGGUUUCUUUUAUAUUCAGUGAUUUUUAAGAAAAGUUUUAAUAAUAUUUUAAAAUUUAUUCUUCGAAAAUGUCACACACGUCAAGAGUACACCUUGAUCGUAGCAACUUCUUCAGGCUUCUCUUCCAAUUCACCCCAGGAACUCUCCUCAAUACAACUCCUUUCCAACUUCAUGUCAUCUUUUAGAGAAAUUAAUUAAUUGGGUGCUUUGAGUUCAAUUAGUGUUGAUAAUAUGCCCGCUGGCUCCCAAAGAAAAGGACCAUCUCUCCCCCAGCAGCCACCAAGUGCCAAUGGCCCCUCAGCUGGAACUGGCACCUCGGCAGCCCCUCCCUCCCUUAUGGCAGUGUUUUAAUGUCUAAAACAAUCCAAAUUUCAAUUUUAUUUUACUAAGCAAAUUGAUAUUUUAUAUAUUGUCAAUUUGUAUUAUAUGUAUAUAUAAUAUAUAUGUAUCUUAAAUGUAUCUUAUAAUAUAUAUGUAUCUUAAAUGGCCCAGGAGCGGCAGGACACCUGCCUGAGACACCGCCGGAACCUGAAGGAAACAGACCGGAUAAACAGUUCUCUACCCCCAAAUCCCGUGGGAGGGAGAGCUAAACCCUCAGAGAGGCAGACACGCCGGGGAAACCAGAAGAGACUGCACUCUGCAUACACAUCUCGGACGCCAGAGGAAAACACCAAAGGCCAUCUGGAACCCUGGUGCACUGAAGCUCCCGGAAGGGGCGGCGCAGGUAUUCCUGGUUGCUGCCACCACAGAGAGCCCGUGGGCAGCACCCCGCGAGCGAACUUGAGCCUCGGGACCACAGGUAAGACCAACCUUUUUGCUGCAAGAAAGCUGCCUGGUGAACUCAAGACACAGGCCCACAGGAACAGCUGAAGACCUGUAGAGAGGAAAACUACACGCCCGAAAGCAGAACACUCUGUCCCCAUAACUGACUGAAAGAGAGGAAAACAGGUCUACAGCACUCCUGACACACAGGCUUAUAGGACAGUCUAGCCACUGUCAGCAAUAGCAGAACAAAGUAACACGAGAGAUAAUCUGAUGGCGAGAGGCAAGCGCAGGAACCCAAGCAACAGAAACCAAGACUACAUGGCAUCAUCGGAGCCCAAUUCUCCCACCAAAACAAACAUGGAAUAUCCAAACACACCAGAAAAUCAAGAUCUAGUUUCAAAAUCAUAUUUGAUCAUGAUGCUGGAGGACUUCAAGAAAGACAUGAGGAACUCCCUUAGGGAAACACAGGAAAACAUUAAUAAACAAGUAGAAGCCUACAGAGAGGAAUCGCAAAAAUCCCUGAAAGAAUCGCAAAAAUCCCUGAAAGAAUUCCAGGAAAACACAAACAGUUGAAGGAAUUAAAAAUGGAAAUAGAAGCAAUCAAGAAAGAACACAUGGAAACAACCCUGGAUAUAGAAAACCAAAAGAAGAGACAAGGAGCUGUAGAUACAAGCCUCACCAACAGAAUACAAGAGAUGGAAGAGAGAAUCUCAGGAGCAGAAGAUUCCAUAGAAAUCAUUGACUCAACUGUAAAAGAUAAUGUAAAACAGAAAAGCUACUGGUCCAAAACAUACAGGAAAUCCAGGACUCAAUGAGAAGAUCAAACCUAAGGAUAAUAGGUAUAGAAGAGAGUGAAGACUCCCAGCUCAAAGGACCAGUAAAUAUCUUCAACAAAAUCAUAGAAGAAAACUUCCCUAACCUAAAAAAAGAGAUACCCAUAGGCAUACAAGAAGCCUACAGAACUCCAAAUAGAUUGGACCAGAAAAGAAACACCUCCCGUCACAUAAUAGUCAAAACACCAAACGCACAAAAUAAAGAAAGAAUAUUAAAAGCAGUAAGGGAAAAAGGUCAAGUAACAUAUAAAGGCAGACCUAUCAGAAUCACACCAGACUUCUCGCCAGAAACUAUGAAGGCCAGAAGAUCCUGGACUGAUGUCAUACAGACCCUAAGAGAACACAAAUGCCAGUCCAGGUUACUGUAUCCUGCAAAACUCUCAAUUAACAUAGAUGGAGAAACCAAGAUAUUCCAUGACAAAACCAAAUUUACACAAUAUCUUUCUACAAAUCCAGCACUACAAAGGAUAAUAAAUGGUAAAGCCCAACAUAAGGAGGCAAGCUAUACCCUAGAAGAAGCAAGAAACUAAUCGUCUUGGCAACAAAAGAAAGAGAAUGAAAGCACACAAACAUAACCUCACAUCCAAAUAUGAAUAUAACGGGAAGCAAUAAUCACUAUUCCUUAAUAUCUCUCAACAUCAAUGGCCUCAACUCCCCAAUAAAAAGACACAGAUUAACAAACUGGAUACGCAACGAGGACCCUGCAUUCUGCUGCCUACAGGAAACACACCUCAGAGACAAAGACAGACAUUACCUCAGAGUGAAAGGCUGGAAAACAAUUUUCCAAGCAAAUGGUCAGAAGAAGCAAGCUGGAGUAGCCAUUCUAAUAUCAAAUAAAAUCAAUUUCCAACUAAAAGUCAUCAAAAAAGAUAAGGAAGGACACUUCAUAUACAUCAAAGGAAAAAUCCACCAAGAUGAACUCUCAAUCCUAAAUAUCUAUGCCCCAAAUACAAGGGCACCUACAUAUGUAAAAGAAACCUUACUAAAGCUCAAAACACACAUUGCACCUCACACAAUAAUAGUGGGAGAUUUCAACACCCCACUCUCAUCAAUGGACAGAUCAUGGAAACAGAAAUUAAACAGAGAUGUAGACAGACUAAGAGAAGUCAUGAGCCAAAUGGACUUAACGGAUAU